UUCAAGUCUCUACGACUUUUAGUUUCGGAGAUAUUCUCAUUUAAAUAAAAAGUAUUCGUAUUGACCUAUAUAUAUUUCCAAAUAUGGGCAUUGGCCUAGUGACCUACAUAAAUUCUUGGAAUUUACGCAAGCCAUUCAUUGUAAAUUUUUUUUACUACUACUACUACUACUACUACACUACUACGUAGUACUAUGUAGUACUACGUACGGUGUAGUAUGCGAUUAAUGAAUGGCAAUAUUUGGAAGGCGAUAUCUUCGGAACGGAAAGUCGUAGAGACAUGAAACAAAAGCCGUUUUAAAGGGAAAAUUUUCCUCUAUUUGUUUAAAUAUUCAAAUAUUAUCGGUAUAAUAGAACCACUUUUACAAAUUUUUUAUUUCUCAUUAUACUUGGUUAGAAUUCGCAUUAAGUCAUCGUAAUAUAUGUACAUCAGUAAUAUAAACGUUUUCAUAGAUUAAAUAUAUCAAUUGUUUAAACAAAUAUAAUUUAUAUUAAUUUAUAAAACCAAAAUUUUAAUAAUAUGCAUUCUCUUCGAAAUAAUUUCUUUAUUAAUUCAUUUGUAUAUUUCUAAUAAUAUUGUUUCGUUAAACGAUAUAAGGAGUGAAUGAGAGAUCAAAUUAAAGAGAACAAAAAUAAACAACAAUUUAAUUUAUUUUAUGUCGAGCAAUGGAACUAGUAUGACACGACCUCGGAACUGUCUCUACACUGUUUUAAAUCAUGAGUUUGCCUUGAGAACGACACCUACGCAAUUUGCAAGGUUAACUCGUUCGAGUUCAAAGCUUUUAUUAUUAAAAAUAUCUAUUUAUUUUUUUAUGUUAACAUAUAUUUAUUUAAAAAAGAAAAAGAGAUAGGAUAAAAACGUAUCACGUACGAACAUUCUUUUCCUAUGAAAAAAGUUCAACGAACGAAAAAUUAUUUCUAAUAAUAUUUCUAUAAUAAUAAUUCGAGUGAAACUAUAUCCUGUAUUACAAAUAAUAAUGGUUGCAAAACAAACGAUUCUUAAUUCUCGGAACAACAUCGCUCGUCUAUCAAAGCCAACAUACUCCUUGAGAUAAACAUGAAUGUAAAUAAAGAGAAGAAUCGUUUGGAAUUAGAAACGUUGUAUACGCGUACGAAAAGGUCAAAGGCUUUGAGACUCUUGGAAUAAAUAGACACACGGAGAUAGGAGAGGGUAGAGUAAAGAUGGGGAAACAAAGAAUAUAUAAGAGAGUCGCGAGACACACAUGGUAUCAGAGAUAUAGGAAUACGGAAGUUACAACAAGUUCAGGUUCAACAUCGAGCGUCUCUCCUUGAAGGCACGAGAAAGUCGCCUUUGAAAACCGAGCACAUAUACUUUAUCUUCGAAAAGACAAUUUUCUAGCGUUUUAUUACAUUGUUCUUAGUUGUCACGAAAUAACGAUACCGAAUUCCAACGUUACGAACGACGGAAAGUAGAAACACACGUGUGAAGAUGAAAAAGGAGGAGGAGGAAGAGAAAUAGAAUUUGGUGGUCAGAAGUUGAACGGAUUUAUUCUACGCGUACGCAUCGGAUUCACUUAGGAGUACCACCACCGAGGCUAAUUACAGUGGAGGCGCGUUUGCACCGGCGUUCUUUCGUCAUUUGGACGGCACGUUUACGGUAAAUAUCAACAGCAAUUAUCAAUAAAUAUACUACGUUCCAUGAAGAAAUUCUUCUAGUUACACGGUAAGAUUAAAUGAACUAUAAGGAAAUAUGGUGUAUUACCCGUUAACUCGUAUAACUUUCUCAUAACGAAAACUCGAGAGGCCUGAAAUUACGGAGACGGAUUAAUUACAAAACUAAAAUCAAGAGCAAAGUAGUGAAACCAGCAUUUAACUGUAAUCGAGUAUUUCAAAUCACGAAGGUAUUUACGCGAUCAGAGUUUGAAGAGGGGAAUAAAAUAUAUUCCAUAAACUUGCAGCUAGUGAAUCGCAAAAAUAAGACUUCUAAAAGAUCUCUAUGUAUCUGUGUUUGUGUGUGUGUGUCUCGAGAAUAUUUACUCGAGGUAUGUUAAUUUCGAUCGUAGAAUUUCUCAGAGAAAAGUCGCAAAGAUAUGAUAUUAUCUUUUGGAGAAGUUUCGAAAUCUUCGCUCGAUCUUCCCAUACACAUUUCAAAGAUUAUUUCAAAUUUAUUUAUUUCUUUUAUUUCAAUGAUUUUAUCAAUUAUUACUUACCCUUGCCAGCUCAUACAGUUCUGUUUUUCUUUCUUAACUUAAAAGAUUCCUACGGUUUACAUUGUUAAAUAGUCUCGAGAAAAUAUCCAAUAUAAUUUUCUAAUAUUUCGAUGAUUCUUCUCUUUUUUUCUUUAAUUUUCUUCCUUUCUUAUAACAAACAAUAUCAUUCUUGUCAUCCAUCAAAAGACACAAAAUAAUUUAAUCCAAGUCCAAUGAAAUUUGCGAUUAUAAAAUUCGUACACAAUAUGAGAUGUCGAGGAUUAAGAGAGGGAGUUAAAAGAGUGUCAAACAACAUGAAAGAGAUUCGAGGGAAUAUACGAGGAAAAAGGAAAGAAAAAGAUGAAAAAAAAAGAAGAGACGAAAGAAAAAUAAAGACGAAAAAGAAAAAAAAAAAGAGAGAGAGAAACGAAGUUCAAGUAGGUCGGGCAAAGUAAUUCCACAAGCGUAACACUUUCGUAGCUCACUCGCAUUGCUCUCUCGGUUCUUUGACAGCAGCUGUUCCAGGGGACUUCACGUAGAGUAUAUUUGUAAUACACCUAUACAAACAUAAUAUCUUACGUCGAGAUACGUACAUACGUGGGCAUCAACUUGUCUGAACGAUCGUAGCCGAGCGACUCCAUCUUGAAAGGAAUGUCAUUCGCGACGUAAGCGAGCGUGGGUCUCUCUCUCUCUCUCUCUCUCUCCCUCUCUCUCUCUCUCUCUCUCUCUCUCUCUCUCUCUCUCUCUCUCUCUCUCUCUUUACGCGAAAUAUAUCGGUAUGCCUUUGCAAAGUCGGCCCACGCUCUGCAUCCGUGCAGUUGCUGCUGUGGCUGCCGUCAGUGCUGUUAAAACGUGGCUGCCUUACGAAACAGGCUUAAUUCUUUGCGCAAUCGAGACCUCCUCCCUUCCUUCUUAGCUACUACCACCCCCUUCCAGUUGUUCCAACCCUCCCCUCUUCCUCACCCUUCUCCUGUAAUGUUUAUCGGACGACGAGAACGAUUAUGAAAUCUCGACAUGUCAACCUGCUCUCCGCGAAAAUGUUUUUCGAUCAACGAUCUUUCGUGAAUCUCUUAUUAAUAUAUUCAUUUUAUUUUGUACUACUUUCUUAAUUUUUUCUUCCCCUCUCCCUCGCCUCAUUAAAAUGUAUCUUACGUUCGAAAUAUUAUUUCGUUCUAUUUCUGUUCUAAUUUUUUUUCCUUUUUUUAUAUCUGCAAAAAGAGUUACAAAAGUUAUAAAGUUUAACCAGCUGUGUGAUCCAAUUUCAUGGAUAACGAUAGAUCAAGGAGAAAUAGAUCGUAGAUCGUAGCCUAACCAGUAGAUCUCCACGUUUUAUCGCUUUCCAAUGAAAUCGAGCUAGGCAACCUUUCUCGGGAUAUAUCUGCUUCCAAUAAAAUAGCGCAUGGCUAUUCGUACGUAUGUACCUGUGUACAUAUAUAUAUAUAUAUAUAUAUAUAUAUAUAUAUAUAUAUUGCUCUAGUAGGAUCAAGAAAAUCAAUCCAAGUGGUUGCUUCAUUAUCGAUGUAAAAUCUUGAAAGAGUUAUAUGCUCGUUAACGCUUAUAGAUACGCGCUGAUAACAAUUGUUAUCCUCAAUCCAUCUUUCCAUUCGUAUAUAUACCUAAACUUCGUAAUAUAGUGUAGUAUAGUUAAUACACAGAUAUAUUCUACAUAUAUGUUAAAUAAAUUUUUGUUUAAAUUAAAACUAUAACAGAUAUUGCGACCGUCGAUAGAUAUCUUUUAUAAGUCGAUAGACGAUCUAUUCGAAGUAAUUUUGUAUUAUAAAUAUUUUUUUCUUUCUUUUUCUUUGUCCUUUUUUUUUUGUUUUUAUUAAAUGUCAUCUCAUUAAAUUUUUAAGCGACUCGCACAGUAUAAUAUAAAUCAUAUAUCUCUAUAGAUAUACGAUAUAAUAUUGUACUAGAUCGCGUAUAGAUCACUCUUUACAGACAUGAUAUGCCUUUUCACCUACGUACUAUAGUAUAUACUUGUGUAUAUAUAUCUGUAUAUAUAUACUUACACACCUUCUUGCAAUCGAUAGCGAUCGCAAGCCUAGAAUCACGAUUUAAUCGCGAUCGUGGAUCGUCUAAUUCGUUUAUCGGUAUAGGAGCGGUAUAUGAUCGACGAUCGAGAUCCCGUAAAGAAGGGGAAACCGAUCAGCUUUCUUUUCCUCCUACGGGCUCUUCGAUCGUUUCAAUGGGCAAGGUCAGGAGAAGUUUUCGCGUUAGAAAACAGCGUGUAUUAACGAGCCACGACGGAUGAAUAUAAUUCCAAGUUGAAAUUCAGCUCUACGGGCGGCUCACGGGGCCUGUUAGAUAAUUAGAGAUCGUUAGGCGAUGCUCGUGCAAUGCUCGUCAUUCAUGCUUCUCCAUGAUUACCGUGCUGAAUUGCGUAACGUAUUGAUUAUGUAACGAUCGAUCAUUAUUGUUACAAUCUAACGUAUUCCCCGUAGUUCCUAAGGGAGAUACUAUACUCUGUAAAUUCUCGAUUUACGCAAAAACAGUUCGAUUACGCAUGAAUGAAGUGAAGAAAUUAUAUUUGCGGCUUGAAUUAUUAGAAUUACAGAAUUUCUUUUGCUAAUAUACAGAUCAUAAUUGUAUUGGCCAUUUAUUUUAAAUUUUUAUAAAAUAA